GAAGAUACUGCCAAUGCAGUACUUUCACUCAAGGUACUGUCCGCAGUACUUUCACUGAAGGUACUAUUACUACAGUACUUUCACUGAAGACACUGUCACUGCAGUGCUUUCACUCAAGGUACUGCCAAUGCAGUACUUUCACUCAAGGUACUGUCUGCAGUAUUUUCACUGAAGGUACUA